AGGGUUUUUAUGGUUUUAGGUCUAACGUUUAAAUCUUUAAUCCAUCUUGAAUUGAUUUUUGUAUAAGGUUUAAAUUUGUUGUAGAGACAUGAUCUUGCCUUGUUGCCCAAGCUAGUCUCAAACUCCUGGGCUCAAGUAUCUUCCCAUCUUGAGCUCCUAAAGUGCUGGGAUUACAGGCAUGAGCCACCUUGCCUGACCAUAUUGCUAUUUAGUAAAGAAGACCUAAACAUUUUCUAGACAAAUUUGGGGGAUCACAUUCUCUCUCCCACCCAAAUCAGGAUGUUUUCCCACCCAGGGAAGGAUGUACCCUUCCUCUGGCUAUCUAGCAUGUCAACCUUAAGUAUUUAGCAGGCAGGCAGGAUGGAAGAAUUCAAAGUAACAAACAAAAUUGAUAAUUAAAUAUUUAGUAGUUAUUAUGGUAACCUAUGAAUUAUGAACAAAGCAAAUUCAACACAUUAAAAUUAUAUUUUUUGUGUUGGUAUGUUUUCUAGUAUAUUGAGACCAACAAU
rnacentral:lncRNA from 10 species